GUGCCCGUAGCUCAGCUGGAUAGAGUGUCUGACUACGAAUCAGAAGGUCGGGGGUUCGAAUCCCUCCGGGCACGCAA
rnacentral:tRNA from 1 species